CCUACGGGGGGCAGCAGUGGGGAAUAUUGGACAAUGGGGGCAACCCUGAUCCAGCCAUGCCGCGUGUGUGAAGAAGGCCCUCGGGUUGUAAAGCACUUUCAGUGAGGAAGAACGCCUGGUGGUUAAUACCCAUCAGGAAAGACAUCACUCACAGAAGAAGCACCGGCUAACUCCGUGCCAGCAGCCGCGGUAAUACGGAGGGUGCGAGCGUUAAUCGGAAUUACUGGGCGUAAAGCGCGCGUAGGUGGCUUGAAAAGCCGGUUGUGAAAGCCCCGGGCUCAACCUGGGAACGGCAUCCGGAACUGUCAAGCUAGAGUGCAGGAGAGGAAGGUAGAAUUCCCGGUGUAGCGGUGAAAUGCGUAGAGAUCGGGAGGAAUACCAGUGGCGAAGGCGGCCUUCUGGACUGACACUGACACUGAGGUGCGAAAGCGUGGGUAGCAAACAGGAUUAGAUACCCUGGUAGUC
rnacentral:rRNA from 1 species